GCCAUGAUGAAUUUUGUGGUGUUGAUCAUCUGAAAUGAUGAUGCUUUCAUGUCCUCUAAGAAGUUCUGAGCCU
ensembl:snoRNA